rnacentral:snRNA from 1 species
AUGUUUGCGCUUGGGGCAAUGACGUAGCCAGUGAGGUUCUAACCGAGGGGCGUUAAUUUCAAGUUCAAAUUUUAACUUUUAUAUAGUCCUCCUACUUUAUAUAUAUUUACACAUUCUGGUAGUGGGUUAUUUUUUUGGGAAGGAAUUUU